rnacentral:lncRNA from 1 species
GGGCGGUCUACCUGCGUAAAACGGGGUUAGCUCCUGUUCCAAGACAAAAAAAGUUAGAAAGCUCAAAUUUUGUGUAGGGAUUGUUUAUUCAAUUAUCUAGGCGGGAUGCUAUUUAAAAUUUAGAAAAUCAAAAAAAAACAUUUUGAAAAUUUUUAUUUUUUAUUAAAACAAUGUAAAAUUGACCAUCCCCUGUUCCUUAAAUCUAAUAAAACAUAACACACGAAAUAUAUAUGUUGUAAACAUUUUUGGUUUCUUUUAAAACCUAACCCAAAAAAUAAUAAUAAUUUUGGCUAAAAAUUGGGUCUCCAUAGGAUAUUUAGGCAGAUCUGGCAACGCCGUUCUUGUUUCUUAAGACGCGCAAUAUUUGCCGGUCAGCUUUCAUUGGUCGAAACGGUUUCGAUAAACGGGUAGUGCUAAGUAGUCUUGAUUUUAUUUUAAGUGAUAUUCGCAAUUAUUAUUUUCCUUUAUUUUAUUCGUGCAUUGUGAUUUGUACUUUCGUGAUUGUGUACUUUCGUCGUUGUUUAAAAAUUGUCAUUAUGGGUCGUAAUAAACGAAACGUUGUGGAUAAAAAACAUUUAGGUUUAGCUACUUUUCGUAAAAGUAAAAAACGUGUUUCAAAAAACGUCUGGUAAGUAUAAUGCUUUUUUUGUAAUUAAUAAGUGUACAAGGUGUCCCAAAUUUAUAGGCCAACAUUGGAGAAUUCGAGAAUCGUCGAACUAAUACAUAACUAGUGAAAUAUGGGCAAAAGUUGGGGUUUUAAAACAAAGUACAAAGCAAUGUUUUAUAAGUUUGAAUAAAACUCCAAGGUAGCAGUCUCAAUAUUUAAUUAAAAUAUUAUAGUACGUAAAUAUUAAAAUUAUGGUUUACAUUUACCUACAACAAAACCCGUUUCGCUCUUUUACGGGCAUCUUUUUGUAUCACUGUCAGUUUCUUUUCUUUAAUUUUCCAUAUUGUUAAUUUGUAUUAUGGUCUAGAGAUGAUCUCGUAAUAAGAGCGAAAUAUGUAACCGAUUUUAUUUAUUAUACAAUUUUAAAGUCAUUUGUGACCGGUGACGGAGUUUUAUACAGUUUUCGUGUUUUUGGUAGAGGGCGCUCGUUGCGUUAGUUUUUACUUUUUUAGAACCCCUAACUUUUAUUCAGCCCCGUAUAUCGAUUUAAAAAAUAUCAAAAUAAAUUCUUCAUAAAUAAAUAAUAAUUCCUAAUUACUUUUUUAAUUUUACAUAAAAAAAUGUAUACCUUAUUAAAGUCGCUAGGAACAACCAUUUUCGACAUAAUCGCACUUUUAGGUUUUCAUAAUAUGUGAAUGACUUAAAUUUACUAGAUUUUUAGCAAUACAAUCCUAAAUAAAAUAAAAUUAAUACCUAAGAUUAUUUAAAAAAAAAAUAAAAAAUUAAUUUAUUUUGAUACUGGACAUAAUGGCUAUGAUUCUAAAAUGGAUAUAAUUCCUUUUCACAAUUCAAAUACGAUUGGAAUAAAACUAAAUCUGUUCGGUUUUUCAUUUAAAUCCCAAUUUUUGCCAUAAUUUAACCAACAUCUUCGUAGCUCUUAGCAUUAGCGACAAGAAUCUCAAAAGUUUAAAAUAUCUCGUAGUUUACUAUAACUACAUUCUUUUUUAGGAAGAAAAAAAUGGAAGAUACCUCGGCUUCUGAAACGUUACAAGAUGUGCCCAGGGAGGAGGUUGCUAUAGCUAAUAAUAUUUCUAAUGAUACUGAAAUGGAAAUUGAGAUAGUAUCGCCAACUGCGAAGAGUCUUGUUCAUGAAAUAUCAGGGAGAAGGUUAUUUAAUGUACAACAUUUAUUUGCACAAAUUCUAAAUGGAGAAAGGCACGCACCAUUUGACUGCAGCAUAAUAAAUAUGAAACUGAUAAGCGAACGAAGACAAGGAAUGUACAGUGAAUUUAUUUUGGAAUGUCAGAUGUGCCGCAUUACAAAAAUUAUUUCUUCCGAUAA